rnacentral:tmRNA from 1 species
GGGCUUUUCUUUGCUGCGACAGCCCCUAUAUCAGGCGGGCCGGUUCAACCGGCUAUGGCGAUAAACUGCGGCGUGCAAUAGGCGCAGCGGACCCGGGGGCGGUACCCGGCGGCUCCACCAGGAUUAGCGCUCUUUCAUGGAGCACUGCUGCUGAUGGGGCCGAACUAGGAUCGACGUGUGCUGAAAAGCGUUGUUUUCGCCCGGGCUGAGUAACCCGUUAAAGGCUCAAAACCCAUAAGUGCCAACGAUAACGAAGCACUUGCUCUCGCAGCGUAAUUGAGGGCCUCACGGCCUGACAUUACCCUAAAAGAACGCGGCUGGGCCAGCCGGGCAACAGAAUGGAUUCCAGCGGUUCGGGGAGCACCGGGCAACAGAAGCUCCCCACU